rnacentral:misc_RNA from 1 species
GUUUAGCCCAGAUUGAAGUGGAAAUCCCGGAGUAAAAAAAGUAAAAGUUUCCUGUUUUAGAAAAGCGACUAACGGAAGCUCUUUCUAGGACUUUAAAACUUUACUUUUUUUUGCGAGGACUUGUAACGGAAAGCUGGAACUAAG